rnacentral:rRNA from 1 species
CAACGCGUAUAGAAUCUACCUCUUACUAGGGGAUAGCCCAGAGAAAUUUGGAUUAAUACCCUAUGGUAUGUCAAGAUGGCAUCAUUUUGAUAUUAAAGGUUACGGUGAGAGAUGACUAUGCGUCCCAUUAGCUAGUUGGUAAGGUAACGGCUUACCAAGGCGACGAUGGGUAGGGGCCCUGAGAGGGGGAUCCCCCACACUGGUACUGAGACACGGACCAGACUCC